UUACGGCCAAAUCACGCUGAAACAUCGGCUCCCGUACGUUCACCGAAGUUAAACAACAUCAAGCAUGAUCAGUAUCUAGAUGGGUGAGCACAUGGAAAUACCAGGAGCU